UACGUAGGGGCCUAGCGUUGUCCGGAUUUAUUGGGCGUAAAGAGCUCGUAGGCGGUUCGGUAAGUCAGGUGUGAAAUCUCCACGCUCAACGUGGAGGCGCCACCUGAAACUGCCGUGACUCGAGUCCGGUAGGGGAGUGUGGAAUUCCCGGUGUAGCGGUGAAAUGCGUAGAUAUCAGGAGGAAUACCGAUGGCGAAGGCAGGUCUCUGGGCUGACACUGACGCUCAUGCACGAAAGCGUGGGGAGCAAACAGG
rnacentral:rRNA from 1 species